rnacentral:misc_RNA from 1 species
GUAGGUGAACCUGCGGAAGGAUCAUUACAAAUCCACGCGUCUCUUUGAGACCUGUUGAAAUGUGUUGUGAGAGAGGCGGAGGAGGAGAAAGUUUAGGAUGAAGGGAGGAGGGAGGGGAGGGUUGAAACAGAAAUGUUUCUCUCUCUCUCUCUCUCUCUUCUUUUUCUCCGUGUCUUCUCUCCCCUUCCCUUUCUCCAAAAAUCUAAAUCAUGUUGUUCAGUCGUAUCUUACAAACAAAAAAAUACAACUU